rnacentral:tRNA from 1 species
GCCUGGGUGGCUCAGUCAGUUAAGCAUCUGACUUGAGCUCAGGUCAUGAUCUCAGUUCGUGGGUUUGAGCCCCACAUCGGGCU